AGUGAACGCUGGCGGUAGGCCUAACACAUGCAAGUCGAACGGCCGCACAGUAAGAGCUUGCUCUUACGGGUGGCGAGUGGCGGACGGGUGAGGAAUACAUCGGAAUCUACUUUUUCGUGGGGGAUAACGUAGGGAAACUUACGCUAAUACCGCAUACGACCUACGGGUGAAAGCAGGGGAUCUUCGGACUUUGCGCGAUUGAAUGAGCCGGUGUCGGAUUAGCUAGUUGGCAAGGUAAAGGCCCACCAAGGCGACGAUCCGUAGCUGGUCUGAGAGGAUGAUCAGCCACACUGGAACUGAGACACGGUCCAGACUCCUACGGGAGGCAGCAGUAGGGAAUAUUGCGCAAUGGGCGCAAGCCUGAUCCAGCCAUGCCGCGUGAGUGAAGAAGGUCUUCGGAUUGUAAAGCCCUUUUAUUAGGAAAGAAAAGCAGCAGGUUUAUACCCCGAUGUUCUGACGGUACCCAAAGAGUAAGCACCGGCUAACUUCGUG
rnacentral:rRNA from 1 species